rnacentral:rRNA from 1 species
GCCAGCCCGCUCAGAAACUCAAAGGAACUGACGGGGCCCGCACAAGCGGUGGAGUAUGUGGUUUAAUUCGAUGCAACGCGAAGAACCUUACCUGGUCUUGACAUCCCGGAGACCCUUAGGAAACUAGGGGGUGCUUCCAUCUGGAAGAAUCUGGAGACAGGUGCUGCAUGGCUGUCGUCAGCUCGUGUCGUGAGAUGUUGGGUUAAGUCCCGCAACGAGCGCAACCCUUGCCUUUAGUUGCCAGCAGUUCGGCUGGGCACUCUAAAGGGACUGCCGGUGUUAAACCGGAGGAAGGUGGGGAUGACGUCAAGUCCUCAUGGCCUUUAUGACCAGGGCUACACACGUACUACAAUGGCCGAUACAAAGGGCAGCGACACUGCGAGGUGAAGCCAAUCCCGUAAAAUCGGUCUCAGUCCGGAUUGGAGUCUGCAACUCGACUCCAUGAAGUUGGAAUCGCUAGUAAUCGUGGAUCAGCAUGCCACGGUGAAUACGUUCCCGGGCCUU